CCAAAGCAGUUCUACUAUGUAACUAGGGCUAAGAACUGCUGCUCUAGCCUGGUGAUUCUCAAACCACCACGCACUCAAACUAGCACCCUUAGCAUCAUCAGAACUUGUUAGAAAUACAAAUUCUUACCCUCCCCUCUAGCAACUGAAUCAGAGGCUCUGGGAGUGGAUCCCAGAGGUCUGGGUUUUAACAAGCCCUCCUGGUGAUUCUGAUGAAUCUUGGAGUUUGCAAACUCUUAUACCAUAAUCAUCCCUAACAGGUGGAUUGAGAUUUCAAGGAAAAAUUCUGCCUCUACCAUGAGCCCAGCCUGACAAAGGGUUUGGAGUGUCCAGCAUCAGCAGGUGGAAGUCCUGCUGCUUCCUCUCACUGAAACUGUCACUUUACUGCUGCUUGGACCCUUGCAGUAGCUUUCUCACUGUCACCACCACCAAACUCCUUUUGCUAUCUGUUCUGCACACUACGACACAACUGCCUUCUUCAAUGCAGAUCUGAGAUCCCUGUCUCCUGGCUUCCAGCCCUUUCCAUCUGCAGCCCCCAGCCCUAGAUAGAAUAAGCAGGCUUAGGGUAAUAAUGUCCAUCUCAUUCCACCACCUUUUUUACCCCCUGACCCCUUCCUUUGCCUGCCACCCCUUUGCCCUAUCUAGAGUUCGUCUAAUCCUCCCAUGCUCAUCAUUACCCUAAGUAC
rnacentral:lncRNA from 1 species